AAUCAACGCUGGCGGCGUGCCUAACACAUGCAAGUCGAACGCGAAAGGGGCUUCGGUCCUGAGUAGAGUGGCGUCCGGGUGAGUAACGCGUGGGUAAUCUACCUUUGGGUGGGGAAUAACUAGUCGAAAGGCUAGCUAAUACCGCAUAAUGCAAUUUUCUACUAGAAUUUUGUUAAAGCAGUAAUGUGCCUAAAGAUGAGCCUGCGUCUGAUUAGUUUGUUGGUAGGGUAAUGGCCUACCAAGACUACUAUCAGUAGCUGGUCUGAGAGGACGGCCAGCCACAAUGGCACUGAAACACGGGCCAUACUCCUACGGGAGGCAGCAGUGGGGAAUUUUGCGCAAUGAGCGAAAGCUUGACGCAGCAACGCCGCGUGAAGGAUGAAAUCCUUCGGGAUGUAAACUUCGCAAGUAUGGGAAGAAAAAAAUGACGGUACCAUAUGUAAGCCCCGGCUAACUCCGUG
rnacentral:rRNA from 1 species